ensembl:lncRNA
UCAGCGCUGGUCUUGGGGCCUAGGGCAACUGGAGCGCAGGGUUCCACACCUCCAGGAGGGGGUACCAGACGGAUUGGGACCCCAGACGUGUGCCAGGCAUACAGACAAGGUGUGGACACUGCGCAUGUUGAACAGUUCAUCAGGCUAUUACAGCAGCCCGGUUACUGUCCCCAAGGGGCAGGGCGCUCAGCCAGGAGUGCGCAGGAAGGCACAAAGUAACAAGAAAUGGGGUGACGCAUUGUUAGGUCUCCAACUCCCCCAGCAAGUGUCCAAACCCCACCACAAAACCCUCACAGAGCACCAAGGGAUCAAAGGCAGCCCCCGCCCACCACAGCACCACCUUCCUCUCUUCUGUGAUGGGAGGAAAUAGAAAGCAGAAUGAACCCCUUCCUGUUCGCAAUGUGUGUGCCCAAGACAGCCAGCAGUCAGGCAAGCCUCUGGCACCCUGCAGUUCCCCAGCUGCGGCCUACCUGGGCAGCACCCCCUGCAGGCACUUUCCCAUCGGAGACGCCUCGGUGGAAGAUGCCGUGGCUCCCGUGUGGAGGAUGUGAGGACGAGAUCCUGUCCCUUCACCUUUUAUUGGGAUUGCGCUCCUGUUAUUGCAAACUUCCCCAAGACCAGCCCGCUCAGCGCUCCUGGGACUUGUAGUCCAUGCUGGCGAGAGGAUGCUACCACACGUGAGUGCUGCCUAGCCUGCUUCACAGGACACAAUGGGGGAGGGGAGAGAAAACUACAGCUCCCAGCAGCGCCCGGUACAGCAUGAAGACAGCCUGUCCCUCUCCAGUCCCUGAUAACAGUGACAGCAGGGCCCCUUUAUCCCAGCCCACCAGCUCGGCUAGACACACAGCCCUGAAGGGUAGCACUGCAGGAAGCAGGAAUGCAGACUGCACAUCGGCAGACCCGGAUUUCCCCUCCUCCCAUCGUUUGUUUCAGUAAUUCAGCGAUUCCUGGCCCUAGUGCUAUCCUGUGGCUGAGAGUUCUACAGGUGAAUUAUGCACCAAUUACUUCUUUUGAUGAGUUUUAAAUGGGCUGCCUUUCCAGUCACUGAACGGCCCUUUGUUCUUGCAGUGUAGGCGGUGAUAAAGGAGAGCCCUGAUUUACCUGUCCAUCCAGUCCUUUCUUUGUCUCCUCCUCUCUACACUGAACUGUCCCAGUCUUCUCAAUCUCUCCCGGCCUCCAUUUCGUCUCUAUCCCCUUCCUAUCGCUGCGCUAUCUUGUUUGAGAAAGGGGGACCAGCACAGAAUGCAGGAUUUGGGGGGCAGGGAGAUGUAUAGGAUGGCAGCACUCCGGACAAGAGCCCCACCCCUCAUUCGAAGCUGCCAGAAACCUUCCCCAAUUCACACACUACAGCCCCCUGCCAAACCUUUACAAAGUAGCCAGUGUUUGCGUGUGUUCCAACUCUGACUAGCUAGCACAUGAAGGGUUAAGUCUGAUGUGCAUGACAACUGCACUCAGCCCCUGAUUUUCGGAGGGGUUGGCUGGUUAUCAGCUCCCCACUGGAGUCAGGAGAGCUGCACGCCCCCCAGUGCCUGGCCCUGCACGCUGACAGAGAACAUCCCAUUUCUAAAGCGCUUGACCAUGGUUAGCCGAUCCUCAAAGCACUC